rnacentral:rRNA from 1 species
GACGAACGCUGGCGGCGUGCUUAACACAUGCAAGUCGAACGAAGAGCGAUGGAAGCUUGCUUCUAUCAAUCUUAGUGGCGAACGGGUGAGUAACGCGUAAUCAACCUGCCCUUCAGAGGGGGACAACAGUUGGAGACGACUGCUAAUACCGCAUACGAUCUAAUCUCGGCAUCGAGGAUGGAUGAAAGGUGGCCUCUAUGUAUAAGCUAUCACUGAAGGAGGGGAUUGCGUCUGAUUAGCUAGUUGGAGGGGUAACGGCCCACCAAGGCGAUGAUCAGUAGCCGGUCUGAGAGGAUGAACGGCCACAUUGGGACUGAGACACGGCCCAGACUCCUACGGGAGGCAGCAGUGGGGAAUCUUCCGCAAUGGACGAAAGUCUGACGGAGCAACGCCGCGUGAGUGAUGACGGCCUUCGGGUUGUAAAGCUCUGUUAAUCGGGACGAAAGGCCUUCUUGCGAAUAGUUAGAAGGAUUGACGGUACCGGAAUAGAAAGCCACGGCUAACUACGUGCCAGCAGCCGCGGUAAUACGUAGGUGGCAAGCGUUGUCCGGAAUUAUUGGGCGUAAAGCGCGCGCAGGCGGAUCAGUCAGUCUGUCUUAAAAGUUCGGGGCUUAACC